rnacentral:lncRNA from 1 species
CUUGGAGAUAUUGUUGGUUCAGUUCCAGACUACCACAGUAAAGCAUAUAUUGCAAUAUAUCAAUGGCUGUUGAAUGCUCAGGAUGGAGGUCACUGAACAUUGGUGUGGCCCUGAUGAAUUCUUCAAAUAAGACAACAAUGAAGCUUGCUGCCUUGAGUGACUCUUCUUUUGAACACUUAGAGGACAUUGUAAGAGACCUCGCUAGUGGAAUGUCAAAGGCUGCAAUGGAUGACAUACAAGGACUUUUCCAGACUUCCUCCUCAAGCCUCCCUCAUCAUGGAUGUCCAGAAGUUGCCUAUAUAAGAGGUGAGGAAAUUGAGGCCCAGAGAUGUCUUUGAUCUCAAAGAUGACAAAAAUGAAGAGAGCUAGUAAGUGGGACUUACUGGACUACAACUCUAUUCCUUUGACCAAGUUCAAUGAUUUUUCCAUAAUAGAAAGUCAGAGAAUUCUUUUGACUACAUCUAAUGCUCUUUUUGCCUGCAUUUUGGAUUGUUCCAGGGUCACCUCUCAAAAGUAAUGAAGAAAAAAACCUUUGUUUUACCUUUUUAAGAAAAGAAGUAAAGUCAUUUACUUUGUAAACAAUGAAAGCUGAUUGAGUUUGUGCCGUCUAGGGCAGAAAGAACCACUGGAGCUCAGUGGUAACUAAGAAAUGCUGAGCUGGCACCGGGACCGAUUUAGAAACUCAUUCUCUAUCUGUUUGUGAUAAUUCAGGCCUGGCUU